rnacentral:rRNA from 1 species
CCUACGGGAGGCAGCAGUGGGGAAUAUUGGACAAUGGGGGGAACCCUGAUCCAGCGACGCCGCGUGAGUGAAGAAGUAUUUCGGUAUGUAAAGCUCUAUCAGCAGGGAAGAAAAUGACGGUACCUGACUAAGAAGCCCCGGCUAACUACGUGCCAGCAGCCGCGGUUAUACGUAGGGGGCAAGCGGUAUCCGGCUUUACUUGGGGUAAAGGGAGCGUAGACGGUGCUGCAAGUCUGACGGGAAAGGUCGGGGCCCAACCCCGGGACUGCAGUGGAAACUGUUGAACUGGAGUACAGGAGAGGUAAGCGGAAUGCCUGGUGUAGCGGUGAAAUGCGUAGAUAUUAGGAGGAACACCAGUGGCGAAGGCGGCUUACUGGACUGUGACUGACGUUGAGGCUCGAAAGCGUGGGGAGCGAACAGGAUUAGAUACCCGGGUAGUC